AUUAACGCUAGCGGCAGGCAUAAUACAUGCAAGUUGAACGGCAGCACAGGUAGCAAUACCGGGUGGCGAGUGGCGCACGGGUGCGUAACACGUAUGCAACCUACCCUAUACAGGCGAAUAACCUUUAGAAAUGAGGGCUAAUACGCCGUGGUAUUAUCUUGGAGCAUCUUGAGAUAGUUAAAGAUUUAUCGGUAUAGGAUGGGCAUGCGUCCCAUUAGUUAGUUGGUAGGGUAACGGCCUACCAAGGCUAUGAUGGGUAGGGG
rnacentral:rRNA from 1 species